rnacentral:rRNA from 1 species
ACGAUGAAGUACUUAGGUAUGUAAAGUUCUUUUAUUGAAGAAGAAAAAAUAGUGGAAAAACUAUAUUGACGCUAUUCAAUGAAUAAGCCCCGGCUAACUAUGUGCCAGCAGCCGCGGUAAGACAUAGGGGGCGAGCGUUAUCCGGAAUUAUUGGGCGUAAAGGGUGCGUAGGCGGUUAGUUAAGUCUAUAAUUUAAUUNCAGUGCUUAACGCUGUUUUGUUAUAGAAACUGGCUAGCUAGAGUGAGAUAGAGGCAAGUGGAAUUCCAUGUGUAGCGGUAAAAUGUGUAAAUAUAUGGAGGAACACCAGAAGCGUAGGCGGCUUGCUGGGUCUUUACUGACGCUGAGGCACGAAAGCGUGGGUAGCAAACAGGAUUAGAUACCCUGGUAGUCCACGCCGUAAACGAUGAGUACUAAGUGUCGGGAUAAAACUCGGUACUGAAGUUAACACAUUAAGUACUCCGCCUGAGUAGUACGUACGCAAGUAUGAAACUUAAAGGAAUUGACGGGACUCCGCACAAGCGGUGGAUCAUGUUGUUUAAUUCGAAGAUACACGAAAAACCUUACCAGGUCUUGACAUACUCUGCAAAGCUAUAGAAAUAUAGUGGAGGUUAUCAGGGAUACAGGUGGUGCAUGGUUGUCGUCAGCUCGUGUCGUGAGAUGUUAGGUUAAGUCCUAAAACGAGCGCAACCCUUGUCGUUAGUUACCAGCACGUUAUGGUGGGGACUUUAGCGAGACUGCCAAUUAAAAAUUGGAGGAAGGUGAGGAUUACGUCAAAUCAUCAUGCCCCUUAUGAUCUGGGCUACAAACGUGAUACAAUGGCUGUUACAAAGAGUCGCUGAAACGUGAGUUUUUGGCUAAUCUCAAAAAAGCAGUCUCAGUUCGGAUUGAAGUCUGCAACUCGACUUCAUGAAGUUGGAAUCGCUAGUAAUCGCGAAUCAGCAUGUCGCGGUGAAUACGUUCUCGGGGUUUGUACACACCGCCCGUCAAACCACGAAAGUUGACAAUACCCGAAAGCAGUGACUUAACUUCGCAAGAAGAGGGAACUGUCUAAGGUAGGGUUGAUGAUUGGGGUUAAGUCGUAACAAGGUAUCCCUACCGGAAGGUGGGGAUGGAUCACCUCCUUUCU